AUUGAACGCUGGCGGCAGGCUUAACACAUGCAAGUCGAACGAGUGGAGGACGGGUGAGUAAUGCUUGGGAAUCUAGCUAAUGGAGGGGGAUAACUAAGGGAAACUGUAGCUAAUACCGCGUACCAUAGGAUGAGCCCAAGUGGGAUGAGGUAGUGGGGGAGGUAAAGGCUCACCAAGCCGACGAUGUCUAGCUGGGCUGAGAGGAUGACCAGCCACACUGGAACUGGGACACGGCCCAGCCUCCUACGGGAGGCAGCAGUGGGGAAUAUUGCGCAAUGGGGGCAACCUGACGCAGCCAUGCCGCGUGAAUGAAGAAGGCCUUCGGGUUGUAAAGUUCUUUCGGUAGCGAGGCGUUAACUACAGAAGAAGCACCGGCUAACUCCGUGCCAGCAGCCGCGGUAAUAC
rnacentral:rRNA from 1 species